CUCCUACUAUCAGCUUCAAAAGAGCCACAACUCUGAGUGACAAACUAAGAGCCACCUUCCUCCAGUACAGACUAAAACAUGCUAGAUACUACAAGAGGUUUGAAUGUCCAUGUGGUUGCUUCGAUAUAGGAAGAACGAAACGAAAACUGGAGACAAGCAACAUAAGUGAGGAAUCAGCACAUGCUGCCAUCUGACAGGAGCUGAAUGGUCGCCGUGGAGACAGAUGUCUGCCUGUGACUGAGAGCAACAUGAGCCCACUCCAGAUGUGUAAUGAUGGGAUGUAAAGUGUGUGUGUGUGUGUGUGAGGGAACCCACUCCAGAUAUGAGAUGAUGACUAAUUAUCUGUGAUGAGGUGGAGAAAAUGGACAACAGUCUGAGACAAGUGACUCCAUAAACAAUCCUAAAUCAGUCUCCUGAUUAGAUCAGUUUCCAUGUCUGCCUUCCUCCCUACCU